ACACGAGGAAGGAGGUGGUCCAACGCAUGCAUAGCUUUGGGACUCGUGAGGUGGCUGUCCGCUAGCCGCUGUCCCCUUAGUAAGGACUGACUGCCGAUCACCGGCUCGUCCUGAGGGUGCCCGCGCCAACGCGUGUGUGUGCACCGGAUGGCGGUCGGCGAAUUCAGGGCAGCCACCCGACCCGCGGGCGCUGGAUCUAGUCCCUCCAGCACAAAAAGCCCGCGGGUCGUCCCAU
rnacentral:sRNA from 1 species